rnacentral:tmRNA from 1 species
GGGGUUGACCGGUUUUGACAGCGUGUAGAGGUGGUGAGUAAGCAUGCCGAGCAAUGAUGGCUACGCUCGUAAAUCAGGGACAUCAAAAAUUUCAAAUGGCGAAAAUAACUACGCUCUCGCUGCUUAAUUGAAGUACAGUAGAUUAGCUUUAUCCCCGCAACAGUUGCAGGGACGAGACAUCACCCCGGAGCCGUCGACCCGAGGAUUUCGGACAAGGUGGUGCAGAUAAAUCGGGUAUAGGACGCCCAUAGCCUCGGCAGGCGCCCGAAGUUUUAGAGGAUAAGAUUGGCGUUGGUGGUCUCAUGCCUGCGUCGGUACGAAAACCAAGUUGAGAAUAAGCAUGUAGAAAGCUCAUUAGUUCCACGUUUGGACGAGGGUUCAAGUCCCUCCAGCUCCACUA